AUUUAUAUAGUUUAUUAAAACAUUACAUUUUCAUUGUGAAGAAAAAAUUAUAUUCAUUUUUAUAAAUA
rnacentral:tRNA from 1 species